UCGUGUCGUGAGAUGGUUGGGUUAAGUCCGUAACGAGCGCAACCCUUGUCCUUAGUUACCAGCACGUUAUGGUGGGCACUCUAAGGAGACUGCCGGUGACAAACCGGAGGAAGGUGGGGAUGACGUCAAGUCAUCAUGGCCCUUACGGCCUGGGCUACACACGUGCUACAAUGGUCGGUACAAAGGGUUGCCAAGCCGCGAGGUGGAGCUAAUCCCAUAAAACCGAUCGUAGUCCGGAUCGCAGUCUGCAACUCGACUGCGUGAAGUCGGAAUCGCUAGUAAUCGUGAAAUCAGAAUGUCACGGUGAAUACGUUCCCGGGCCUU
rnacentral:rRNA from 1 species